AGACCGAUAGCAAACAAGUACGGUGACGGAAGAUUGAAAAGAACUUUGAAGAGAGAGUUCAAUAGUACAUGAAACUGUGUGGUGGUAAACGGAGGGAUUCUUGAAGUGUCUGCGAAGAACUCAGCCUUGGUGUUGGGCAGUCACGUCCUGUCUGAUCAGCAAUGACAGCAGGGCGGGUCGGGCCUGGCUCACGGGUGCAUUUUCUCUGCAGUUUACGGCAGGAACCGUUUGGAGUCGACCUAUGGCGUUGGGUGAAGUUACCGGCCUAGCCUGUAGCCCCGGCUGUCCUGGCUCCUCUCCAGACGGGUAUCUGGAGGAGACUCGUAUAGCGAGCAAUGCUCUGUUGCGGUCUCCAUCUCUCUGCCGAGUAGGUCAGCGGUCCCUCCGACCCGUCUUGAAACACGGAC
rnacentral:rRNA from 1 species